UUAAUAGAAACCAAAAAAGAGGUAAAUCACUGUUAAUGAUUAAAUUGGUUAAUACCCUAUUAAA
rnacentral:tRNA from 1 species